rnacentral:rRNA from 1 species
AACGAACGCUGGCGGCAUGCCUAACACAUGCAAGUCGAACGAGACCUUCGGGUCUAGUGGCGCACGGGUGCGUAACGCGUGGGAAUCUGCCCUUGGGUUCGGAAUAACAGCGAGAAAUUGCUGCUAAUACCGGAUGAUGACGUAAGUCCAAAGAUUUAUCGCCCAAGGAUGAGCCCGCGUAGGAUUAGCUAGUUGGUGAGGUAAAGGCUCACCAAGGCGACGAUCCUUAGCUGGUCUGAGAGGAUGAUCAGCCACACUGGGACUGAGACACGGCCCAGACUCCUACGGGAGGCAGCAGUGGGGAAUAUUGGACAAUGGGCGAAAGCCUGAUCCAGCAAUGCCGCGUGAGUGAUGAAGGCCUUAGGGUUGUAAAGACUCUUUUACCCGGGUAUGAUAAUGACAGUACCGGGAGAAUAAGCUCCGGCUAACUCCGUGCCAGCAGCCGCGGUAA